UUUUGGGUUGUAAACCUCUUUUCUCAAGGAAGAAGAACUGACGGUACUUGAGGAAUCAGCAUCGGCUAACUCCGUGCCAGCAGCCGCGGUAAUACGGAGGAUGCAAGCGUUAUCCGGAAUUAUUGGGCGUAAAGCGUCCGCAGGUGGCACAUCAAGUCCGCUGUUAAAGACCAGGGCUUAACCCCGGGAAGGCAGUGGAAACUGAUGAGCUAGAGUACGGUAGGGGUAGAGGGAAUUCCCAGUGUAGCGGUGAAAUGCGUAGAGAUUGGGAAGAACACCAGUGGCGAAGGCGCUCUACUGGACCUGUACUGACACUCAGGGACGAAAGCUAGGGUAGCGAAAGGGAUUAGAUACCCCUGUAGUCCUAGCCGUAAACGAUGGAUACUAGGCGUUGCUUGUAUCGACCCGAGCAGUGCCGUAGCUAACGCGUUAAGUAUCCCGCCUGGGGAGUACGCACGCAAGUGUGAAACUCAAAGGAAUUGACGGGGGCCCGCACAAGCGGUGGAGUAUGUGGUUUAAUUCGAUGCAACGCGAAGAACCUUACCAGGACUUGACAUCCCGCGAAUCUUGAUGAAAGUUGAGAGUGCCUUAGGGAACGCGGAGACAGGUGGUGCAUGG
rnacentral:rRNA from 1 species